rnacentral:rRNA from 1 species
AACGAACGCUGGCGGCAGGCUUAACACAUGCAAGUCGAACGCAUGCCUUCGGGCAUGAGUGGCAGACGGGUGAGUAACGCGUGGGAACCUACACCUUGGUACGGGAUAGCUCCGGGAAACUGGAGAUAAUACCGUAUGUGUCCUGAGGGACAAAGAUUCAUCGCCAAGGGAUGGGCCCGCGUCGGAUUAGCUAGUUGGUGGGGUAACGGCCUACCAAGGCGACGAUCCGUAGCUGGUCUAAGAGGAUGAUCAGCCACAUUGAGACUGAGACACGGCCCAAACUCCUACGGGAAGCAGCAGUGGGGAAUAUUGGACAAUGGGCGCAAGCCUGAUCCAGCCAUGCCGCGUGAGUGAUGAAGGCCCUAGGGUUGUAAAGCUCUUUCACCGGUGACGAUAAUGACGGUAACCGGAGAAGAAGCCCCGGCUAACUUCGUG